rnacentral:rRNA from 1 species
UACGGGGGGGGCAAGCGUUGUUCGGAAUUACUGGGCGUAAAGGGCUCGUAGGCGGCCAACUAAAUCGGACGUGAAAUCCCCAGGCUCAACCUGGGAACUGCGUCCGAUACUGGAUGGCUUGAAUUCGGGAGAGGGAUGCAGAAUUCCAGGUGUAGCGGUGAAAUGCGUAGAUAUCUGGAGGAAUACCGGUGGCGAAGGCGGCAUCCUGGACCGACAUUGACGCUGAUGAGCGAAAGCCAGGGGAGCAAACGGG